rnacentral:lncRNA from 1 species
CAGGUUGACUCAGUUUUUAUCUGCAGUAAAAGAUAUCAAACAGUGAUGACAGGCAUUGACAGGACAGUCACAUGUUCACUGCUCUCAGACUGAAUCGACAAAGUGAUUGUAUAAUAUACAUGCGUUGUGUUUAGAAAAUAACAAAAAAAUACAGAAAAGCAGUAAAAUAAAACAGUUAUGACAGGCACUGACAGGACGGUCACAGCCACACGUUCACUGGUUAGGUAGGACACAAGAUAUCAUUUAGAUAGGAGCAACAGUAGUGAUACAUGGUUAGGUAGGACACAAGAUAUCAUUUAGAUAGGAACAACAGUAGUGAUACAUGGUUAGGUAGGACACAAGAUAUCAUUUAGAUAGGAGCAACAGUAGUGAUACAUGCCCUCAAUGUGAAGUGAUAUUAAUCCAUAAAUACAGAGCACAAGUACAACCCUUUUUAUAUAAACAUUUGAAGGUUGUAAGAAAAUAAACAUGAAGUUAAUAUUUCAAUAAGUCACCUGCUAGUAAAUCACCUGCUGGUAAUAGCUGCGUGACACAUUGUAGUGCAGUGACCAACGGUGCUAGUUAGCUCGUCAUUAACACGGCUAGCUAAACAAGCAGAAACCUGGUUAACUUGCUGAAAUAGGUCUUCAAUUUAUGAACGGCAAAAUAAAUAUAUACAUAGCCACAUUCGCCAUUGACUUUAGGAUAUAUGAACCAGUUUUCCAAAACCACUAUUGUGUUAUAGAGUUUUAAACAGUUUUUAUAUAAAGAGGAAGAGGACUGGAACCUGCUGUCAGAAUAUCUCUCUCAGCCUGAGGAGCAGGCAGACCAACUUCCCAAAUAGGGUAGAACCAGUGCUGUCACAAUGUUGCACAUAUGUAAAUAUGUUGUUUACUGAUCUCCUCUCCAUUCUAGCACCAUACGUUCUGUUGUUUACUGAUCUCCUCUCCAUUCUAGCACCAUACGUUCUGUUGUUUACUGAUCUCCUCUCCAUUCUAGCACCAUAUGUUCUUCAGAAGCUGGUCAGCAUAUGAAUAGAAUCCAUCUUCUCUCACCGUCUCCCCACAAGACCUACAUCACACAAGAUGCUUCAGAAUAACAACAACAAGCUGGUGAAGUUACUACCCAACAGGAACAGCCAUGACAACAACAACAAGCUGGUGAAGUUGCUACCCAACAGGAACAGCCAUGACAACAACAACAAGCUGGUGAAGUUGCUACCCAACAGGAACAGCCAUGACAACAACAACAAGCUGGUGAAGUUGCUACCCAACAGGAACAGCCAUGACAACAACAACAAGCUGGUGAAGUUGCUACCCAACAGGAACAACCAUGACAACAACAACAAGCUGGUGAAGUUACUACCCAACAGGAACAACCAUGACAACAACAACAAGCUGGUGAAGUUACUACCCAACAGGAACAAUCAUGACAACAACAACAAGCUGGUGAAGUUGCUACCCAACAGGAACAACCAUGACAACAACAACAAGCUGGUGAAGUUGCUACCCAACAGGAACAACCAUGACGACAACAACAAGCUGGUGAAGUUGCUACCCAACAGGAACAGCCAUGACGACAACAACAACAACAAGCUGGUGAAGUUGCUACCCAACAGGAACAGCCAUGACGACAACAACAACAAGCUGGUGCUUCUAGAAAAAACAAUCAAUUUGGAAACAUUAUGAAAAAGUGAAUGUCACCACCAUGGAUGUUUAAGUUAUAUAGUCUACCAAGUGUUAAUGUCUCCACCAUGGAUGUUUAAGUUAUAUAGUCUACCAAGUGUUAAUGUCACCACCAUGGAUGUUUAAGUUAUAUAGUCUACCAAGUGUUAAUGUCUCCACCAUG